UACGGGGGGGGCAAGCGUUGUUCGGAAUUACUGGGCGUAAAGGGCUCGUAGGCGGCCAACUAAGUCAGACGUGAAAUCCCUCGGCUUAACCGGGGAACUGCGUCUGACACUGGAUGGCUUGAGUUUGGGAGAGGGAUGCGGAAUUCCAGGUGUAGCGGUGAAAUGCGUAGAUAUCUGGAGGAACACCGGUGGCGAAGGCGGCAUCCUGGACCAACACUGACACUGAGGAGCGAAAGCCAGGGGAGCAAACGGG
rnacentral:rRNA from 1 species